AGUGGCCCAGCGGUAGCGCAGCACAUUCUUGUCCGCGCUAUCCUGGUUCGAAUCCCGGUUUGGCC
rnacentral:tRNA from 16 species